AAUCAACGCUGGCGGCGUGCCUAACACAUGCAAGUCGAGCGGGAAAGGGGGCUUCGGCCCCUGAGUAUAGCGGCGGACGGGUGAGUAACACGUGGGUAAUUUGCCCUUGGGUGUGGAAUAACUCAGGGAAACUUGAGCUAAUACCGCAUGACAUCCCCUUCACACACGAGUCGGGAUCAAAGCCGGGGACCCUUCGGGGCCUGGCGCCUGAGGAGAAGCCCGCGCCCGAUUAGCUAGUUGGGA
rnacentral:rRNA from 1 species